GAUGAACGCUAGCUACAGGCUUAACACAUGCAAGUCGAGGGGUAACAAGAGGAAAGCUUGCUUUUCUUGUUGACGACCGGCGCACGGGUGAGUAACGCGUAUCCAACCUGCCUAUAACUAGGGAAUAACCUUGCGAAAGUAAGACUAAUACCCUAUGAUUUCCUUUGAUGACAUCAGAUUAGGAAUAAAGAUUCAUCGGUUAUAGAUGGGGAUGCGUCUGAUUAGCUUGUUGGCGGGGUAACGGCCCACCAAGGCAACGAUCAGUAGGGGUUCUGAGAGGAAGGUCCCCCACAUUGGAACUGAGACACGGUCCAAACUCCUACGGGAGGCAGCAGUGAGGAAUAUUGGUCAAUGGGCGGAAGCCUGGACCAGCCAAGUAGCGUGCAGGAUGACGGCCCUAUGGGUUGUAAACUGCUUUUAUACAGGAAUAAAGUUAGCCACGUGUGGUUAUUUGUAGGUACUGUAUGAAUAAGGACCGGCUAAUUCCGUGCCAGCCGCCGCAGUAA
rnacentral:rRNA from 1 species